rnacentral:tRNA from 1 species
GCCGGGCUAGCUCAAUCGGUAGAGCGUAAGACUCUUAAUCAUAAGGCUGCGGGUUCGACCCCCGCGUUCGGCU